UAUCUUUGCGCUCGAUUGAAAAUCAAUCAGAUACAUAAAAAUCAUUUAAAACAAUAUUGGAAUG
ncrna:Eudoraea adriatica DSM 19308 S15-Flavobacteria ribosomal protein leader